GUACCCUCCGUCCUCCCUCACCGACCGCCAGCCACAGACGGUUCCCACCGGCUCCGCGCAGCCUCCCUCCAGUGUCUUGGCACCAUGCACACUCACCAUUGUGGCUCCGCGUCUGCAGCGUCUGUGUCCUCCCGUGGAUGGCCCGGCACCCACCAGACCACAGGGCAAACGGAUGCGGCGGGGNCGAGCCAGCGUCCACACCGGAAGAGACCCAGCCUGCGGAGGAUUCCAAGAUCCUGGACUUCAGAAACAAAACGAGAAAGCCCGCCCCCUCCACCCUUUCUACACGGCUGAUUGGAAGGUGUCACUAUCGGGCUGCUGAUUGGAUGACUUUCAGAUCCCGCCCCAUCAGGACCCAACACUGCCCUAGGAAGCUGGAAUGACAGGUUCUCAGUACAGUUGUAGUAAAGAUGACACUAAAGGGGACAUUUGCAUUUAAUCUCGUAUAUAAGGUCGUAGUGAUGUAUGAGUCGUGUGUAUGUACAUUAUUCGCAAUAGAAAAGAAUUUCGUGACAAUUUUUCCCCUGAGCUCUGUUCCCGAAUUCUAAAUUUUAAAAUGGGAAGCAAUCCCCUGAAUCAGCAAUAUCCAAUAUAAAAGGGGGGAGAAACACACAAGUGUAAUAUUGAAUUUUCUAGUAUUUAUAUUAAAAUUAAAACAGGGAAUAAUGAUUGUAAUAAAACCCAG
rnacentral:lncRNA from 1 species